UACGAAGGGGGCUAGCGUUGCUCGGAAUUACUGGGCGUAAAGCGCACGUAGGCGGCUUUUUAAGUCGGAGGUGAAAUCCUGGAGCUCAACUCCAGAACUGCCUUCGAUACUGAAGAGCUCGAGUCCGGGAGAGGUGAGUGGAACUGCGAGUGUAGAGGUGAAAUUCGUAGAUAUUCGCAAGAACACCAGUGGCGAAGGCGGCUCACUGGCCCGGUACUGACGCUGAGGUGCGAAAGCGUGGGAGCA
rnacentral:rRNA from 1 species